UCUCCCCAUCCCUUUCUCCCUCUGUAAAUGUGUGUGUGUGUGUCUGUGUGUGUGUAUAUAGAAACAUCUCUCUCCAUGCUUUCAGUUCACACUCAGCUCUCCACUGCUUGGCAGAGAGGAUAGAUGUAAGACUGAAGCGAGGGGAGGGGGACACAACCAAAGGGGGAGAUUCUUCGAACACAUUUCUGUGACUUUCUUUCUUUCUUUCUUUCUUUCUUUCUUUCUUUCUUUCUUUCUUUUCUUCUCACACACAAAGUGCCUUGCUCUCUGUCUGUCCUUUCCGCCUUCCCAUCCUUCUUGUUAAGAGUGUUUGGACAGUGGCUGCAUCGAUGCAAAAUGGGCUGUGGCAAUUCCUCAGUCACCAGCAACACAGGAGGGGGACAGAAGAUCCAUCGGCAGAGGAUGAGAAAAGAAGGAACUAUGGGGGCGUAUACGUAGGUCUGCCAGCAGACCUGACCACAGUGGCUG